UCUAAGUCAUUGAAAAGACUUGGUACUGUUAGUCUAGGAAAACUUUUGUCGUACAUUUUACCUUGAGGAAUGAAAUUUACAGAUACCUAACUGGUCCAUGGGGAUCAGGCGGGGCUAUGUGCAAGAUGACUACCAACUGAGCCCCGUGGAUCAUGAGCCCCAACCAUCUCGAUGUCCGAUCCCCGCUCCAGACGGAUCUCGGCUUAGGGUAAGAGUGACUAGAAGUAUAUCAGGCUCCUGAAAAAAGUUGUGACGCUUGGCGCGGCACAACACUUCCUCCAGCCGCGGCUACUAGCGCUGUCAUCUAGACAUUUGGAAACAUACAAGUUUGACAACAUUGUAGCUGAUAUCGACAUGUGGCCUGACAGUGUUGGCGAGCGUAUGCGAGGAGUUCAAACACAUCGUGGACGUCUCGAAAGAGGGCUUAAGAUUCGAUCAGAUUCAAGUGAUUGUGGAGAAUGUUCACUGAUAUAACAUUAGAUUGAUGGACCCAUGGAUGGAUGUGUGGCGUGACUAGGCUUGAUAAAAUACGCAACAGUACGUACGUAGAAGCCUCGGUGUACGGGACAUCGCCGACAAGAUGCAGGAGAGUAGGCUGAGAUGGUAUGGUCACGUAAAAAGGAAGCCGCCUGGCUACGUCGGAAAUUUGGCACUACUGCUCAACCUCCCCGGUCGAAGACCUAGAGACCCAAGACAAGGUGGAAGGAUGUAAUGCUGAAGGAUAAAAGGAAAUGCAAUAUUGCUGACAAGGAUGUCGAAGACAGAGCGAAGUGGAGGAGUAAAGUGAGGAAAGCUGACCUCACCACCAUGUGGGAUAAAUAACUGGCAAGAGAGAGAGGAACCCCAAAUAUAAGUACAAAUUGGACCGGACCAUCGAUCUGGACCUCGCCAACUUGGCGGAAUUAAACACACGUUUCAAUGUAUAGAUCAAAAGCUCAAGACUGACUCACGUGCCAUCAUAUAUGACAGCUUAGCUCUAUAUUGACAUUGUUGCGACAGUGUCAAAGGCACAAUUUAGCGCAAUAAAGUAGCUAUUUGAUAUCCUGGCCCUAAAAUGGAAACCUUCGGUCUCGUUUGAAGGAACACGUUUUGGUACUACACUAAAUACUAGUAAAGCACUAGUAUAUCAGUUGGUACAACACUAGUCCUUCCCUGUUCCGCACAUUCAUCGGCGACUUUAUUUACAUUCGAACUGACAGAAAUACUUUGAGAAUUAAAUGUUUGUAACUGUACGAUGAGUCGAUUGGUUAAUCAGCAAGUCAAUUGUAAUUAAAUGUUUUUGAAUCGU